AACGAACGCUGGCGGCAUGCCUAACACAUGCAAGUCGAACGAAGCCUUCGGGCUUAGUGGCGCACGGGUGCGUAACGCGUGGGAAUCUGCCCUAGGGGUGCGGAAUAACUCGGAGAAAUCCGUGCUAAUACCGCAUAAUGUCUUCGGUACCAAAGAUUUAUUGCCCCGGGAUGAGCCCGCGUAGGAUUAGCUAGUUGGUGAGGUAAAGGCUCACCAAGGCGACGAUCCUUAGCUGGUCUGAGAGGAUGAUCAGCCACACUGGGACUGAGACACGGCCCAGACUCCUACGGGAGGCAGCAGUGGGGAAUAUUGGACAAUGGGCGAAAGCCUGAUCCAGCAAUGCCGCGUGAGUGAUGAAGGCCUUAGGGUUGUAAAGCUCUUUUACCCGGGAUGAUAAUGACAGUACCGGGAGAAUAAGCUCCGGCUAACUCCGUG
rnacentral:rRNA from 1 species